CUACGGGAUGCACCAGUCGAGAAUCUUCCGCAAUGCACGAAAGUGUGACGGAGCGACGCCGCGUGAUUGAUGAAGUCCUUAGGGAUGUAAAGAUCUUUUAUCAAGGAGGAAGUUUAUUGACGUUACUUGAUGAAUAAGAGGUUGCUAAACUCGUGCCAGCAGCAGCGGUAAUACGAGUGCCUCGAGCGUUAUCCGGAAUUAUUGGGCGUAAAGGGUGUGUAGGCGGUCUUGUUAGUCUCUUGUUAAAUCCCUUGGCUUAACCAAGGAAUCGCAAGAGAAACGGCAAGACUAGAGGAUACGAGAGGUGAAUGGGACUCACAGUGUAGGGGUGAAAUCCGUUGAUAUUGUGGGGAACACCAAAAGCGAAGGCAGUUCACUAGCGUAUUCCUGACGCUGAAACACGAAAGCGUGGGUAGCGAAUGGGAUUAGAUACCCGGGUAGUC
rnacentral:rRNA from 1 species